AUUGAACGCUGGCGGCAUGCCUUACACAUGCGAGUCGAACGGUAACAGGUCUUCGGAUGCUGACGAGUGGCGAACGGGUGAGUAAUACAUCGGAACGUGCCCAGACGUGGGGGAUAACGAGGCGAAAGCUUUGCUAAUACCGCAUACGAUCUAAGGAUGAAAGCAGGGGACCGCAAGGCCUUGCGCGUUUGGAGCGGCCGAUGGCAGAUUAGGUAGUUGGUGGGAUAAAAGCUUACCAAGCCGACGAUCUGUAGCUGGUCUGAGAGGACGACCAGCCACACUGGGACUGAGACACGGCCCAGACUCCUACGGGAGGCAGCAGUGGGGAAUUUUGGACAAUGGGCGAAAGCCUGAUCCAGCAAUGCCGCGUGCAGGAUGAAGGCCUUCGGGUUGUAAACUGCUUUUGUACGGAACGAAAAGGCUCUGGCUAAUACCUGGGGCACAUGACGGUACCGUAAGAAUAAGCACCGGCUAACUACGUG
rnacentral:rRNA from 1 species